CUCGACAGAUCUCUACAAUCCGUAGAUUUCCUGGGU
rnacentral:sRNA from 1 species